CAUAGGCUUGGUCCUGGCCUUUCCAUUAGCUCUAGGUAGAACUACACAUGCAAGUAUCCGCACCCCAGUGAGAAUGCCCUCUAAAUCAUGGUUGAUCUAAAGGAGCAGGUAUCAAGCACACUAUCAAGUAGCUCAUAACGCCUUGCUUAACCACGCCCCCACGGGAUACAGCAGUGAUAAAAAUUAAGCCAUGAACGAAAGUUUGACUAAGUUAUACCUACCCCAGGGCUGGUAAAUUUCGUGCCAGCCACCGCGGCCAUACGAUUAGCCCAAGUUAAUGGAAAUACGGCGUAAAGCGUGUUUAAGAGCGUAACAAAAUAAAGUUAAAUUCUAGCUAAACUGUAAAAAGCCCUAGCUAAAAUAAAAAUAGACUACGAAAGUGACUUUACCAGUUUCUGAAUACACGAUAGCUAAGACCCAAACUGGGAUUAGAUACCCCACUAUGCUUAGCCCUAAACUUAAAUAAUCAUCACAACAACAUUAUUCGCCAGAGUACUACUAGCAACAGCCUAAAACUCAAAGGACUUGGCGGUGCUUUAUAUCCUUCUAGAGGAGCCUGUCCUAUAAUCGAUAAACCCCGAUAAACCUCACCAACUCUUGCUAAUUCAGCCUAUAUACCGCCAUCCUCAGCAAACCCUAAAAAGGAGCUGCAGUAAGCACAAUAAUAACACAUAAAAACGUUAGGUCAAGGUGUAGCCUAUGAGUUGGAAAGAGAUGGGCUACAUUUUCUUCCUAAAGAAUAUCCAAAUUAAUACACGGAAGCCUUCAUGAAACAGAAGGCCGAAGGUGGAUUUAGCAGUAAAUUAAGAACAGAGAGCUUAAUUGAAUCCGGCCAUGAAGCACGCACACACCGCCCGUCACCCUCCUCAAAUACAAUCAAUGCUACCUAACCCUAUUAAAAUGCAUAUAAAAUAUGAGAGGAGAUAAGUCGUAACAAGGUAAGCGUACUGGAAAGUGCGCUUGGACAUAC
rnacentral:ncRNA from 1 species